GCGCGAGUGGCGGAAUUGGCAGACGCGCUGGAUUUAGGUUCCAGUGUCCGGAGGACGUGGGGGUUCAAGUCCCCCCUCGCGCACCA
rnacentral:tRNA from 3 species